UAUUAUGAAAAAGCUAUCCCGGAAGUAUGAUGCUACGCUAGCUCUUGGUGUCGAAUCUGCGGACAUAUUCGGUCACUGUCGGUGGAUUCAGUCAGCUCUCCGCUCCUCGGUACAUUCACCGGUCAGUUUGUGUCCGUUAUUGUUACCGGUCUCCUCUUCCUCUCUGUUCCAGCCGGCAGCGGUGAUCUUUAAAUGGCGGCUGUUUACGGUUUCAGCAGCCUGGAGCCUUAAAACACUUCCUGUAAGAUCACCAUGUAGACUGGUGGAUGGACAGCUGUGAAUCAGAGAGCAGACAGUAGCAGUCUGAAACAUUUACAGUCAGAAACUCUAACAGUCAGAAUCAGCAACAAACAGAAACAGAAACAGUCAGAAUCAGCAACAGUCAAAAACAGAAACAGAGUCAUAAUCAGAAACAGUCAGAAUCAGCAACAGAGUCAGAAUCAGCAACAGAGUCAGAAUCAGCAACAGUCAGAAUCAGCAACAGUCAGAGACAGUAACUGGUCAUAAACAGUCAGUAACCAGUCUCACAGUGUCAGGGUGGCUCUGGUGUCGUCCUGGUGGAGGAGCAGGCUGAUGGAGAGCGACUGUCGGAUCCCUGUGGCAUGUUGUAGGCCUCGAGUACUUGUUCUCCACGCUCUGUUCUGGGGCCUCGUCUCCCUCAGGUCAGUCAGUACGCUGAGAUCAUAGGUCAGUCUGCACGCUGAGGUCAUAGGACUGUCUGUACGCUGAGGUCAGAGGUCAGUCUGCACACUGAGGUCAGAGGUCAGUCUGCACACUGAGGUCAGAGGUCAGUCUGUAUGCUGAGGUCAGAGGUCAGUCUCUAAGCUGAGGUCAUAGGUCAGUCUGUACGCUGAGGUCAGAGGUCAGUCUGCACACUGAGAUCAUAGAUCAGUCUGCACGCCGAGGUCAGAGGUCAGUCUGUACGCUGAGGUCAUAGGACUGUCUGUACGCUGAGGUCAGAGGUCAGUCUGCACACUGAGGUCAGAGGUCAGUCUGUAUGCUGAGGUCAGAGGUCAGUCUGUAUGCUGAGGUCAGAGGUCAGUCUCUAAGCUGAGGUCAUAGGUCAGUCUGUACGCUGAGGUCAGAGGUCAGUCUGUAUGCUGAGGUCAGAGGUCAGUCUGUAUGCUGAGGUCAUAGGUCAGUCUGUACGCUGAGGUCAUAGGUCAGUCUGUAUGCUGAGGUCAGAGGUCAGUCUGUAUGCUGAGGUCAUAGGUCAGUCUGUAUGCUGAGGUCAUAGGUCAGUCUGUAUGCUGAGGUCAUAGGUCAGUCUCUAAGCUGAGGUCAUAGGUCAGUCUGUAUGCUGAGGUCAGAGGUCAGUCUGUACGCUGAGGUCAUAGGUCAGUCUGUAUGCUGAGGUCAGAGGUCAGUCUGUAUGCUGAGGUCAGAGGUCAGUCUGUAUGCUGAGGUCAUAGGUCAGUCUGUACGCUGAGGUCAUAGGUCAGUCUGUAUGCUGAGGUCAGAGGUCAGUCUGUACGCUGAGGUCAGAGGUCAGUCUGUAUGCUGAGGUCAGAGGUCAGUCUGUACGCUGAGGUCAGAGGUCAGUCUGAUGUUUGACGUGUUGAUGUGUUGUGUUUCAGGGUGUUUGGCGCCGCCCUGCUGAGCGAAGAAAAAACUACAGCAGUGAAACAGGUGGUCGCCCCCUGCUGGCUGCUGGAGGAGUUUGUGGUGACGGUGGAGUGUUCACCAUGUAACGCCUUCCAGACC